GUGAAUUCACUUGAGUACCAAGGACAAUACAGUAAAAAGGCAGAUAGAAAGAUGAAUUUAAAUCUACUUGAGCCCAUUAAAAAUGUGUAAAACCAUUGGGCACUCUCUCGCCUCCAGACAACUAGUUCUAGGUCCUCCUCCUCUGGCUCAAGCCAUUAGAUCAGGCGAUAUUAGUUCCUCGAAAGAAAGGGGCAUUGUGAAUUUCACUACUUCAAGAAUGUCGUCGACGUCGAUUCCGGAGAAGCUUUACUAUUUUAGCAAAGCUUUUCAAAGAAAAAUAAGAGAACGGGUGGCCGGAAAGGAGGACCGGGUUAUUGUCGAUUUUUAU